GAGGGCAAAGCCAAAAAGAGGCAAACCCCUGUUACGGGUUGUAUUGGGCAAUACCUGCUUUCA
rnacentral:tRNA from 1 species